UCAGGAUGAACGCUGGCGGCGUGCUUAACACAUGCAAGUCGAACGGAGUAUCAGGAAUGAAGUUUCGGAUGGAUUUUUGAUACUUAGUGGCGGACGGGUGAGUAACGCGUGGGUAACCUGCCUCACACAGGGGGAUAACAGUUGGAAACGACUGUUAAUACCGCAUAAGACCACAGUACCGCAUGGUACAGGGGUAAAAACUCCGGUGGUGUGAGAUGGACCCGCGUCUGAUUAGUUAGUUGGCGGGGUAACGGCCCACCAAGACGACGAUCAGUAGCCGAUCUGAGAGGAUGACCGGCCACAUUGGGACUGAGACACGGCCCAAACUCCUACGGGAGGCAGCAGUGGGGAAUAUUGCACAAUGGGGGAAACCCUGAUUGCAGCGACGCCGCGUGAGUGAAGAAGUAUUUCGGUAUGUAAAGCUCUAUCAGCAGGGAAGAAAAUGACGGUACCUGAGUAAGAAGCCCCGGCUAACUACGUGCCAGCAGCCGC
rnacentral:rRNA from 1 species